rnacentral:rRNA from 1 species
UACAGAGGGUGCAAGCGUUAAUCGGAAUUACUGGGCGUAAAGCGCGCGUAGGUGGUUUGUUAAGUUGGAUGUGAAAGCCCCGGGCUCAACCUGGGAACUGCAUCCAAAACUGGCAAGCUAGAGUACGGUAGAGGGUGGUGGAAUUUCCUGUGUAGCGGUGAAAUGCGUAGAUAUAGGAAGGAACACCGGUGGCGAAGGCGGCGACCUGGUCCGAUACUGACGCUGAGGCGCGAAAGCGUGGGGAGCAAACAGG